CAAUGGGCGAAAGCCUGAUGCAGCAACGCCGCGUGCGGGAAGAAGGCCCUAGGGUUGUAAACCGCUUUCAGUAGGGAAGAAACUGACGGUACCUGCAGAAGAAGGUGCGGCCAACUACGUGCCAGCAGCCGCGGUGGCACGUAGGCACCAAGCGUUGUCCGGAUUUAUUGGGCGUAAAGAGCUCGUAGGCGGUUCGGUAAGUCGGGUGUGAAAACUCUGGGCUCAACCCAGAGCCGCCACCCGAUACUGCUGUGACUCGAGUGCGGUAGGGGAGCGGGGAAUUCCUGGUGUAGCGGUGAAAUGCGCAGAUAUCAGGAGGAACACCAGUGGCGAAGGCGCCGCUCUGGGCCGUUACUGACGCUGAGGAGCGAAAGCGUGGGGAGCAAACAGGAUUAGAUACCCUGGUAGUCCACGCCGUAAACGUUGGGCACUAGGUGUGGGUCUCAACCAACGAGAUCCGCGCCGUCGCUAACGCAUUAAGUGCCCCGCCUGGGGAGUACGGCCCCAAGGCUA
rnacentral:rRNA from 1 species